AGGAUGGGCCCGCGUCCCAUUAGCUGGUUGGUGAGGUAAAGGCCCACCAAGGCAACGAUGGGUAUCCGGCCUGAGAGGGUGAACGGACACAUUGGGACUGAGAUACGGCCCAAACUCCUACGGGAGGCAGCAGCUAAGAAUCUUCCGCAAUGGACGAAAGUCUGACGGAGCGACGCCGUGUGAAUGAAGAAGGCCGAAAGGUUGUAAAAUUCUUUUGCAGAUGAAGAAUAAGAAGAAGAGGGAAUGCUU
rnacentral:rRNA from 1 species